AAAAGGGGGGGGGGGGGUAAAAAGAAAUUGUGGGGGGUCAAUUUUUUCUCAUUUCAGAUUUCAGAAAUUAAAAAGAAUUAUUCUUCAAUUAUUAUUUUUUUUUCAAAUUUCAAAUGUUGAAAAAUUUCAAGAAGUAAUCUUUAAUUGCACAGUAUGGUGCAUUAGAUUUGUAAAAUCUUUGACCACAUUUAUUUAUUUGUUAUGCCGAAUCUAACCAUGUAUUUAGAUUUUUAAUUUUGGGUCCAGUUUGUUUUCAAAUUGGUCUACAUUAAGGUCCAAAGGGUCCAAAAUUUAACUUUGUUUGAUUUUAACAAAAAUUGAAUGUAUGGGGUUCUUUGAUAUGCUGAAUCUAAACAUGUAUUUAGAUUUUUGAUUUUUGGCCCAGUUUUCAAGUUGGUCCAAAUUGGGGUCCAAAAUUAAACUUUGUUUGAUUUAAAAAAAAAUUGAAUAUAUGGGGUUCUUUGAUAUGCUGAAUCUAACCAUGUAUUUAGAUUUUUUAUUUGUGGACCCUGCUAUCAAAUUGGUUCAUAUUGAGGUCAAAAGGGUCCAAAAUUAAACUUUUCGUUUGAUUUCAUCAAAAAUUGAAUUAUUGGGGUUCUUUGAUAUGCCAAAUCUAACAGUGUAUUUAGAUAUUUAAUUUUGGGUCCUUUUUUUUAAAUUGGUCUACAUUAAGGGCCAAAAGGAUCUAAAAUUAAACUUAGUUGGAUUUUAACAAAAAUUGAAUUCUUUGGGUUCUUUGAUAUGCUGAAUCUAAACAUGUGUUUAGAUUUUUGAUUAUGGGCCCAGUUUUCAAGUUUGUCCAAGUUGGGGUCCAAAAUUAAACUUUGUUUGAUUUCAACAAAAAUUGAAUAUAUGGGGUUCUUUGAUAUGCUGAAUCUAAACAUGUAUUUAGAUUUUUGAUUUUUGGCCCAGUUUUCAAGUUGGUCCAAAUUGGGGUCCAAAAUUAAACUUUGUUUGAUUUCAACAAAAAUUGAAUAUAUGGGGUUCUUUGAUAUGCUGAAUCUAACCAUGUUUUUAGAUUUUUUGUUUUUGGGCCCGCUAUCAAAUUGGUUCAUAUUGAGGUCAAAAGGGUCCAAAAUUUUAACUUUGUUUGAUUUCAUCAAAAAUUGAAUUAUUGGGGUUCUUUGAUAUGCCAAAUCUAACCGUGUAUUUAGAUUUUUAAUUUUGGGUCCCGUUUUUUAAAUUGGUCUACAUUAAGGUCCAAAGGGUCCAAAAUUAAACUUAGUUUGAUUUUAACAAAAAUUGAAUUCUUUGGGUUCUUUGAUAUGCUGAAUCUAAACAUGUGUUUAGAUUUUUGAUUAUGGGCCCAGUUUUCAAGUUUGUCCAAGUUGGGGUCCAAAAUUAAACUUUGUUUGAUUUCAACAAAAAUUGAAUAUAUGGGGUUCUUUGAUAUGCUGAAUCUAACCAUGUAUUUCGAUUUUGGACAUUGGACCAUAAUAGGUAAAUUAAAAAAAAUCAAGUUCUUAGACCACAUUCUUUCUGUGUCAGAAACCUAUGCUGUGUCAAAUAUUUAAUCACAAUCCAAAUUCAGAGCUGUAUCAAGCUUGAAUGUUGUGUCCAUACUUGCCCCAACUGUUCAGGGUUAGACCUCUGCGGUCGUAUCAAGUUGCGCCCAGCGAAGCAUUUUAUUUUACAA